GAGAAAACGAGAAAACCUAAGUAUAAAGUUUAUACUAAUUCAAUUAACACAAGGAAACAAGCAAUUAAGACCCCCCAUGAUAUCGGCGAAGGCGUCUAUGGCGGAGGCUCCGGAGGAACAAAAAACCCCAAAACCUUCGAAUCUCCACAAAUCAAAUCUCAGAAAAAUAAAUCACAAAGAGAGAAAAAUAUCUCAGAAAACCUACGAAUCUCUCUCAAUCUCCAAAGUCACCGGCCUUAUUUGUUUUCCCCAUAUUUGAAUUUGAAACUCUACGAGAAUUUCAUUUUCUCUCUCCUAAUGAACGGGCGGAAGCUCCUGCUGCGUGAGCAAGGGGAGUUUGAUGUUGAAGGAGAUGUUACAGCAGCCGCUGGAGGCCCCGCGCCAAAGAAGAUGACGUUCAAGAAGUUUAGCUACCUGAAUUUUUUGUGGUACACCUGAAUUUACCCCUUCCGGGCCGCCUCAGUUUCUUAAUAAUUGCGUAGAAGAUCAGAGUGUGGGAAGAGAUAUAAUUGUUCAUCGUGUUCGCAGGAACAACAUAAACAAGAAAGAUAUGCCUACUGGCUAGAUAUUUGGAUGGCAUAACAGCAGGACGAAAUGGUGUUGCACAAGAUGGUUUUGAUCGAUGUUUCAAGGAGUCCGUGAUGGUUGGAUAUAACUGGGGAUUUGUUAGGGGUGUUACUAGGUAAUGGACCCAAGGAUAACAUGUGACAAAGCCAUGAAACUUCUUGGUGACUUUGAGUUGGCAAUGACUAGCGUAUUGACUUUAUGCUUGAAUUGGUUUCUUAUAAACUUCCAGGUGAUUAUGGAGUACUUAGGGCUUUUCAAUUUAUAUAGGCAUGUUGUAAAUUUUAUUGGUGGAUGUCGUAGUGAAUUAUCGUUUCUUUUCUCUUCAUUCUCAAUUAAUUUAUUCUCAAUCUUUUAUUGAAAGUAUUCUUUGUUUUAUUUCAGCAGAGAAUAUCUGAAAAAUGUGUCAUAAAAUUGUUAUUUCUUUAAGUCCACAUAUUGUUCUUCACAUAUUACUCAAACAAUGUAUUUUUUUCUUUCAAAAUUAUUGUAAGGUAAAACAA